UGUUUUUUUGAAUGCUAAAAUGCAAUAAACUUUUAAUUUAUUAUUUCAACACUUGUUGAUCUUGCGU
rnacentral:tRNA from 1 species